CGUGCCCAGAGGUAGGGGAUAACGCAGCGAAAGCUGUGCUAAUACCGCAUGUGAUCUGAGGAUGAAAGCGGGGGACCAAGCAGCAAUGUUUGGCCUCGCGCCUCUGGAGCGGCCGAUGUCAGAUUAGGUAGUUGGUGGGGUAAAGGCCUACCAAGCCGACGAUCUGUAGCUGGUCUGAGAGGACGACCAGCCACACUGGGACUGAGACACGGCCCAG
rnacentral:rRNA from 1 species